rfam:Thiobacillus sp. SCN 63-57 ABT23_C0055, whole genome shotgun sequence.
UGUCUCCUCCAAUCCUCCUCCUUUGGUGGAUACUCUGCCCGGCUCAUCACUGAGCUGGGCAUUUUUUU